rnacentral:lncRNA from 1 species
GUGUGACAAUUUUCAUCCACUCCUCAGGUGGAGGUGGGGUGGAGCUAAGUUUUUUUAAGUAAUUACUUAGAAACCACUUCCCUCUGUGCUGCCUGCUUUCUACCAUUGCUUGCUUGGUUCUCCCAGGAAUAAAUCUUCCCUUGGUUUCUACUGAUGUGUGAUGCUGUUUUGCUAAUUACCUGCCUGUGUACACUCUGUCACCUCCCAGAUCAUUUACAGUAAAUGAGUUUCUGCCUGAUGAAGAUUUGGAUCACUGCUUUGAAAAGGCAGUGCCAUGAGGAGUUACUUCUCUGUAAGCCUGCUGACUGGAGUACUAAUGGCUUUUUGGAAAGAACACCAGCUGCAAGAAAUCACCUCGAUGUCACAGCUUGGAGUCACCCACAGCUGCCACCAGAGAGGGGCCUGUACAGAAGCGGAUUGGAGAAGCACCCAGGAGGUGGAAAUAGUGGCUCCCAAAUGAAGAUAGAUUGCUGCCCGACUUGAGGUUUAAUCAGCUCGAUGGAGCAGGCAAAGUGUGCAUCAUUUGGAGAGUGCCCACAGCUGUGUGAAGGAGCAUGGCACAUCACUCAGAAGAUGGAGAGAAAGUCAUCCGGAGCCUGUAACUGGUCCGUUUGACUGACAGAUCUCAUGGCUGCUAGAUCAGGGUAGGAUCAUUUCAGUAACAUUUGU